UAUAAGGAAAAAUCCCCUUCGCUUGGUUCUCACUCUCUCUUUGCCUGCUGCCAUCCAUGUUAAGAUAUGACUUGCUCCUCGUCUUCCGCCAUUAUUGUGAGGCCUCCCCAGCCAUGUGAAACUAGUUUUGCUCUUUUUGCCCAGGCUGCAAUGGCGUGAUCUUGGCUCACCGCAACCUCCGCCUCCCGGAUUCAAGCGAUUCUCCUGCCUCAGCCUCCCAAGUAGCUGGAAUUACAGAUAAAUGUUUCAGAAUGCUGCCACCAACCAUCCUGCAACCAUGAGUGGCAAGCCCAAGACCAAAAACCAAAUAUUGAGGAUGGCAAAGAAAAAAGAAAGAGACUGGACUGUUGGGGACAUCACUGAGCCACUUUGCCAAACCUGGAGUUGCCUACCUUCAAAAGUUUUGUUAUAUGACAUAAUUAAUCUUUACUGCUUUGCCACUUCUGGUGGAAUAUUUUAUUACUAUCACCAGAAGCAUUUCUUGGCUUCAAUAACACACAUACUCCAGUGUCACCUGCUUCAAGAGCACUCUACUCAUAAUUCUGACUAAUGUACAUUUCCACAUGUCUGACCCAAAGGAGGAAGAGGCAGAGCAAGACGGCUCAAUAGAAGCCUCCACUAAUUGUCCUCCCCACUGGAACACCAAAUUGAACAACUAUCCACACAAAGAAGCACCUUCGUAAGAACCAAAAAUCAGGUGCCAGACAGAAAGUCAUCUCUCUGCUCAACUGAGACAAAUGCAGAUUCAUUGAGCCAGACUAAGGCAUAAGUGACUAUUCCUCUAUGUUCCCCAACAUGUAAAUUGUGGAUUCAGUGAAAGGCUGAUUGAAGAGUCAGAAGAAUGUAACUUUUUGUCUCUUAUCUACCUGGAACCACACCUUAUCUACCUGGAACUGUCCCCUCCCCGCCCCCCCAAUCCCGCCCUGUUUUGAGUUGUCCUGCCUUUCUGGACCAAAUCAAUGCACAUCUUACACAUAUUGAUUGAUGUCUCAUAUCUCCCUAAAAUGUGUAAAAGUGAGCUGUACCCUGACCACCUUGAGCACAUGUUGCCAGGACACAGCCUCCUGAGGGUACAUCUUUAACCUUGGCAAAAUAAACUUUCUAAAUUGAUUAAGGCCUGUCUCAGACACUUUGAGUUGACAAUACACAAAAACUAAAAAGGAAGAAAUUAAAAGAUACCACCAGAGAAAAUCGCAUUCACUAAAAGGAAGACCACAAAACAACCAGAAAACAAAUAACAAAAUGGCAGGCAUAAGUCCUUACUUAUCAAAAAUAGCAUUGAAUGUAAAUGAAAUAAACUCUCCAAUCAAAAGACAUACCAUGGCUGAAUGGAUUUAAAAACAAGACCCAAUGAUCUUUUGCCUACAAGAAAC
rnacentral:lncRNA from 1 species